rnacentral:rRNA from 1 species
GGCAGACUAGAGUCUUGUAGAGGGGGGUAGAAUUUCAGGUGUAGCGGUGAAAUGCGUAGAGAUCUGAAGGAAUACCAGUGGCGAAGGCGGCCCCCUGGACAAAGACUGACGCUCAGAUGCGAAAGCGUGGGUAGCAAACAGGAUUAGAUACCCUGGUAGUCCACGCCGUAAACGCUGUCUACUUGGAGGUUGAGGUUUAGACUUUGGCUUUCGGCGCUAACGCAUUAAGUAGACCGCCUGGGGAGUACGGCCGCAAGGUUAAAACUCAAAUGAAUUGACGGGGGCCCGCACAAGCGGUGGAGCAUGUGGUUUAAUUCGAUGCAACGCGAAGAACCUUACCUACUCUUGACAUCCAGUGAACUUUCCAGAGAUGGAUUGGUGCCUUCGGGAACACUGAGACAGGUGCUGCAUGGCUGUCGUCAGCUCGUGUUGUGAAAUGUUGGGUUAAGUCCCGCAACGAGCGCAACCCUUAUCCUUGUUUGCCAGCACGUAAUGGUGGGAACUCCAGGGAGACUGCCGGUGAUAAACCGGAGGAAGGUGGGGACGACGUCAAGUCAUCAUGGCCCUUACGAGUAGGGCUACACACGUGCUACAAUGGCAGAUACAGAGGGCAGCGAAGCUGCGAAGUGGAGCGAAUCCCUUAAAGUCUGUCGUAGUCCGGAUUGGAGUCUGCAACUCGACUCCAUGAAGUCGGAAUCGCUAGUAAUCGUGGAUCAGAAUGCCACGGUGAAUACGUUCCCGGGCCUUGCACACACCGCCCGU